CUGACCCCCUCGGUAGAGCCCCCAGCGGUCCCCCACUCGGGCACCCCCACUCCCCCGGCCCUGGAACUACUUCUGUAAAAAGUCUGAGCCGCCGGCAUCUAGGCGGAGGAGGGCAGGGUGGGGGAGGCGAGGCGAAAUCGAUACGCCCGGUCCUUAACCUGUAAUUGCACCUUCCAGGGCUGAGCAGAAAGGGACCCUCUGCUCGCAUCCCGCCCGCGCACCCGCCCGUCCGCCCGCCCGGGAGAGCCGCCGCCGCCGCCUCCCGGCUCAGAGGGAUCCCGCCGGACCUGCCCCUUCCACUGCGGCUCACUCUGCCCUGCCUGGCGCCGGUCCUGGAUCGCCGGCUUCCUAUUUAUACCGGACUGAGCUCCUUUCGACUCACUUUACCAUCCCGUUCCAGGCUGGCGACUUCGCUGCUGAGCUGAAACUGCUAAUUUCUGUGACCAGCUUUUUUCUUAGCUGUGAUCUGGAUGAAUGAGUAGCUGUCUCACAGAGAUGACAAAAAUAAACUCUAAUCCCCCCCAAAAUUUCCACUACAUCUUUCUCAUGCAUAGAUUUAUGAUCUUCAAGCGCUCUGUGCAAUAUGCAAACUUUUUUUGUGUCUGUAUAUAUGCUGUUGUUUCCAGAUUUCACUACAUUGGUAUGCUGCUUUUCCCUUCCCCCCACACCUCCCCCUCACCCCUAGCACUAUGAAAUGCAGAAACAGUCUGAUCUCAAA